UACGUAGGGGGCAAGCGUUGUCCGGAAUCAUUGGGCGUAAAGCGCGCGUAGGCGGCCCUGUAAGUCCGCUGUGAAAGUCGAAGGCUCAACCUUCGAAUGCCGGUGGAUACUGCAGGGCUAGAGUCCGGAAGAGGCGAGUGGAAUUCCUGGUGUAGCGGUGGAAUGCGCAGAUAUCAGGAGGAACACCAAUAGCGAAGGCAGCUCGCUGGGACGGUACUGACGCUAAGGCGCGAAAGCGUGGGGAGCGAACAGG
rnacentral:rRNA from 1 species